GAUGAACGCUAGCGGCAGGCCUAACACAUGCAAGUCGAGGGGCAGCAUAAAAUAAACUUGUUUAUUUGGUGGCGACCGGCGCACGGGUGCGUAACGCGUAUGCAACCUACCUUACACAGGGGGAUAGCCCGGAGAAAUUCGGAUUAAUACCCCAUAGCACUAUCGGAUAGCAUCAUUUGAUAUUUAAAGCUUUGGCGGUGUAAGAUGGGCAUGCGUCCUAUUAGCUAGUUGGUGAGGUAACGGCUAACCAAGGCUACGAUAGGUAGGGGGCCUGAGAGGGUGGUCCCCCACACUGGUACUGAGUCACGGACCAGACUCCUACGGGAGGCAGCAGUGAGGAAUAUUGGUCAAUGGGCGCAAGCCUGAACCAGCCAUGCCGCGUGAAGGAUGAAGGUUCUAUGGAUUGUAAACUUCUUUUAUUUGGGAAUAAACCCCUUUACGUGUAGAGGGCUGAAGGUACCAAAUGAAUAAGCACCGGCUAACUCCGUGCCAGCAGCCGCGGUAACAC
rnacentral:rRNA from 1 species